GCUUUGGGAGAGAUUUCCCUUUAGAAUCAUUAGGAAACACAUUCUUGGCUUCGCUGGAGACUAGCGUGCUGACUUACCUGUUCCAAAGAGUUGGAGCUGGCGUGGCUUUUUCUCCCCUGUUUUGCUAUUGGGAGAUUUGAGUGGAAUUAAAUCAAACGGAGGGCUCCUUCCGUUAUGAUUUGCUCCUUGCAUUGUUUCCUGUGAUUAGGAACAAUUUGGUUUGCACUACCGAAAAUAGCAGUGUAAAUACCACUUAGUCUGAAGGCGCCUGUGAGCGGUACGUUGGGAAGUGAACGGGAGUCAAAUCCUUCAUGCUUUUUCUUCUUUUUCUUGCGUGUUGGAAAGGCAUGACCAGGGUGUUGGGAGUGUUUUAUUUGUGUGAAGAUAUCUAAAAGUUCUGGAUCCUCUGAUUAUUUUCAGAAAUGGUCUUUGUGCUUAUGCAGAGUGGUGUCGGUCCUACCCCGAUAAGAACUGUAAUGAAGUAAAAUGGCAAAUAAUGCUUCCUGUUAGAAAAGAGGAAACAACAGCAAAACCCAACAGCAAGUAACUUGGGUGACAGAUUAAAAUGAUUUGUGUCCUGUGGAUCACAAAUGUGCUGAUCUCUUGUUGUAUCUCCGUUUCUCCAAAAGCGCGUGUGACGUUUCUCUUAUUUCCACUGGAGCUUUCACGGUUACUGGUGAUGCAGGAGCCAAAGAUAUUCGUGGCCUUGUCUCUUGCCACUUGGAGCAGUUCUAGGCAAAGUAAGGUAAAACUUGUCGUUAAGUCCGUGGUCUUUUUGUAUUUGUGCUGCCACCAGGGUAGUGUAACAGGGGUGGAUGUCUCAAAAAAGGGAUGGAAAUCAUAAAAUGAUAUUGUGCUUGAAGAGUCCACCUGGGAUCUUCUGGGUCAGGGAGGAACAUGACCCACAGAUGAAGGCACCUUUGCGGAGCACACAUCAAUCCCUUCUUUAACUGAUGUGCUCCUCUAAAACCUUUGUUUGCUGCUGCAGUCGCUCCCUGGGGAAGUUCCUGAGGGUUUAUCAACUCCAGGGCUUACACGCUUCUUACUCAUACUGUUAUAUCACGCAGAAGUACUCGUGAAAACUGCAGUCUCAUUGUGCUGCUGUCAGAGACACUCCUGUUCCAGGUAGCCUGCGGAUGAAAGUUGCAGAUGGAAUGGGAAAAAUUGUGAAGUGGACUCAACAUGCAACUUCUGUACCAAAAAAGCUGUAGGCUGUAUUCGGACUUCGUCGGUACUGGCUUUUUCAGCAGUGUCUCAGCUGAGGCGUGAAAAGCUGGCUGGCUCCUGGUUGUGCAGAGGAAAUUAAGGAAAGAUUGGGAAGGAAAAGGAAUUAGUUCAGACGUUACGGAUCGCUUCAGAGAUGGAGCAGGAAGGGGAGAGGGGCUCACGUAUAAAUCGGAGCCCGUUAAAACACAUAGAUGGUCGUGUCGAGGGCUGAUGGCAAAACCAGUUUCUUUCACAGAAAAGCAGCAGUUGGUGUAACAGGAGAAUAUAAAUAGUCAGCUCUGAGCAUUAGGUGGAGGCGUUCCUCGUCGGCAGACCUGGUCUAGGAAGUCGCUGGGCCGCUGUUUGUUGUCGCCUCGGUAGAGGUUUGGGAGGGAGCGUGUACGUGAGAGAAAGGAAAUUCUGGUGUCGGAAGUGUCAGGAAGGAAUGACAAAGAUGGUGUGGAAGUGGGUGGUUUGUGUGAGGCGCAGGGAUUUGUAGGCGACACGUUGGAUCGCUAUCGGAAAGGUUUUGGUGCUCAGCAGUGGCAAAGAAAGGGAAAGAGGGAAGAGGUGGUGCAGAUAAGUAGCCUGGACACCACUUUCGGUUCCCUGUAGUUGGCAUGGUUCAGGGAAGUCCCAUUUGCAAAGCAUGAGCGGUUAGUUGCUUCUAGAUGGGUGGCUUUAGGUCAAUUUGUAAAUACUCAUUUGUAAGUUAAGGAACGCAUUAAAGAAUACAGCGAUUUCUGGUACAAAGUAAAAUAUUACGUUCCCUUCAUGCAUACACGUAGGAUUGCUCUGAAGGCGUAUGUUAAAACGUGUCACAAACGCUUCCGUUUCGGGACUAAUGUAGUAUUGAUCGAUGCAGCAAAGUUAACGGGCUGAUCGAUAGCAGCACUAAUAUCGACGACCUGGGCAGCUUUAUGUCCUGUGUUCAGAAACGAUGAGUAUCUGCGUAGGCAUCUCUGGAUCAGAAGCAGCGCAUACCUCGUGGGCUGGCUGUAGUUUUAUGUUCUUAUCUUUAGAAAGAGCUCUGUUGCAGGCUGACGGUGCUGGUGCUAGUGCAAGGGAAGGCUAAAAUGGCUGGCUGGUCAGCCUGGCGUUUGGAAUUUAAAAUCGAGCUGGUUUCCUUCAAUGGGAAGCAACAGUUUAGUAGCUCCAAACUGAUCUUGCCUAGCGAUCCGGGAGGAUGUUGAAAUCUGUCUUGUUGUUUGGUCUUCUUCAUGUAUUUGGGAGCGGGUUGCUCGAUGUGCUGGUGGUUGGAGCGCUGGCCUGGAGCUCGGUCCUGAGCCCCGCCGCACGCUUCCAGCGUGGCGCUGAGCAAGGCGCUUAAUCUCCCGCCUCCGUUCCCUGUUUGCACCUUGAAGUGCUGGCGUUUUUGGGAAGGCAAACUUGUGGCUGCUCGGAGGCCCUUUGAUAGAGAUGGCAAAGAGGCUUAGGGCAUGUAACGAGGGGGACUUAAAGGAAAAAUACUACUAAUAAUCUUGCUUUCGUGGGGAGAAGUCUAGGGAGCAGCCUUUGCAGCCGGCCAGCUGGCAUCUCUGGGCUGCUGGAGUGGGAAUCCAACGAGCUGCCUUUUCCUCCGGGCAGGCUGGUGGGUAGCGAGUCUCCUUUUGUGUUCCUCUCUGUAAGCCCGAGCCGUGCCAGCACCAUUGUCCUGGUGGAAGUAAAUUAAAUCUCCAAAAGGAGUUUGCUUGAAUAUUCCCCUCAGGCAGGGAAAGUAGAAACAAUAACUACUUUAUUCCCGACUCGAAACUUUAUUUUCUCAAACUGAAUGUCUUCAUCUAAAGAAAUGUAAUUUGGGAUGUUGCUGUGCAGCUCCUUAAUGAUUUCUUUCUAAUUCCAUGCUAGCCACCAGUCUGAGAGCAGUUUUCUCAUCCGCUUCCUUAAAUGGCUGCAUCAUGUUAUACAAUUCUGUAGCGUCACGUUUUCUCUGGGUUGCGAAAUUGAGCGUUGCAGGGUUAUACAGCAACUCCCCGGCGAGGAAGUCAGUUUUACACUGGGAUGUUGUGUGCCGGUACCUGACCUCUUACUGCCGGCGGCUGAGGAGCUGCUGGAGGCGCCCUUGCAGCCUGCUGCCCCCCGUUGCCAGAAGUUUGUCACCCACUGCAAGAGAACUGGUAGAAGAAAACCCGUGCUCAUACUUCACCUGCGUACGUGCAAAUCCAGCUUCUCGGUGUGAGUCUGUCUCAAGAAUUUAAGGCAAGAUGCUGGACUUUGAAAAGCUGAGAUGAGUGCUGAAAUACAGAUGAGAUACGCUUGAAGGUGUAAGCGAAGUUACAGAGCUGGUAGGUGCUAGCAAGUUCAUGGACGUUUGGAACGCAGCGUGGUCCUCCAGACAGUGAACACAUCGGAUUCAGGAAGAGGGUGCAAGUUGUAAACGUACACUUUAAUGACCGUGUUCAACUUUGGUAGCUGUGCGAUGUAACCAAGUUAAAUUUGGUUUUGAAAACAUGACCAUGAUUCGUUAAAUAAUCUAAUGUUAAUUUGCUAAUGCAAAAGCACAGGCUACAGGAUUAAAUGUCCGGCUGCCUUUGUAAAACUGACUUCCACAGAUUAUGCAAUAACUCUAAAAUACGCAACGCUAUAUCUAAAGUUAAUAAGACAUUAUAGGAGCAUCUACACCUCUUAUUCCUCCUUUCCAAGAUUUUUAGGGAAUUGAACGUUAAUAGACUUUUUUUUUCAAUAUAUAUUAAUUAGAUGGGUCUGUUGCAGCCCGAUAAACCGGCACAGGUAUGAGAGUCAGCCAGCCAGACUGUCACGAGCGUGCAGCCUUUAGAUCUACUUAGGGGAGCAUAAUAAGUCCCAAUAAUUGUGCUGUCACCAGGCCUUAUUAGCAGUGCUUUUACCUGGUCUUGUACAAGAGUCGGGCAAACAAAAGAAACACGUAAAUGGGUGCUUUUUUGUGUUGUGUUCUCUCGUUGAAAAUUAAAUACCUUCUCAGAGUUAGAAAGGGCUGUCUGGUAACAGGAUAAAUAAUGCUUCUGUGUAAUCCGACAGCCUGGCUUGGACUGGCAGUCACAAGCCAUUUUUUUUGGUUGUUGUUGUUCAAUCACAGAAGUAAUUUGACUUGUCUACAAAUAAUGUUUUGAUAAACUUCAGUAGAAAUUAGCAAAUCACCCAUCAAAUGGGAUUUAUAAAAAGUUGCUUGGGAAAAUGUGCUGUAAGUAGUCUGCAAUUCAAAGCAUUUCCUUUGCAGGAUGCUUAUCAAGUCCGCCUGUGCUACUUCCAAAUUGAACUAGAGCGUAGAUGAGAACUAUUUUUUGAUAGAAGGGAAAAAAAAAGGAAAUAAAGCCCAGCUGAAAAAUAGUACCAGGUUUCCUUUUUAUUUUUUUUUAUCAUUGCUUUGGGAUGUAAAUCGUACAAGUGUGCAGAGAGAAAACAGACUUUGAAACACCGGAAGGAAUCAGAUUAAUCUGUGAUGCUUGAGAGAUGCUGCUGCCGUUUGUCAUUCGGAGCUCGGACAAUAUCAGAUCGCUAGGUGUGCGAGCCGUCUCAGCGAUAUGAAUGGAAAUAAAGGCUCACAUUUAAUAUCUCGGCUCUUUGAUAAAUGGGAAUCACCUUAAUAAAAAAAAUGAAGUGUUAUUCUACAGUUCCCACAAAGCCUUCGCCUGUCUUCAAGUGCGUUCCCUGUGCUGAGUACAUAGUGAAGAAAUAGGUACUUCGGGGAGCUUCUGUGUUAAACUGUGAGGAGCUGGUUUUUGUAAUCGUGUUCAGUGAAAUUGUUAGGCCUCUGUUAUACUAAAUUACUGUGAGAGCAAGUAAUACAUCUGCUGAGAGCUCGCCCUAAUAUUCCUCGCAGAGCAUUUCAU